rnacentral:tRNA from 1 species
GGGGAGGUAGUCUAGUCUGGCAGGAUACCAGCUUGGGGUGCUGGCGACCCGAGUUCAAAUCUCGGCCUCCCCA